UGAUCAAUCUCUAGUGCAGGAGAUCCAACAGUCCCUGAGAUCAGGAAGUCUCUCCACAGAUGAACUGUCUCCUGCUCAGUGGUCAGCUCUGGUCUUCAUCUUACUGUCAUCAGAAAAAGAUCUGGAAGUGUUUGACCUAAAGAAAUACUCUGCUGCAGAGGAGGCUCUUCUGAAGCUGCUGCCAGUGGUCAAAGCCUCCAACAAAGCUUUAUUGAAUGGCUGUAACCUUACAGGGAGAAGCUGUAAAGAUCUGUCCUCUGAUCUCAACUUCCAGUCUUCCAGUCUCAGAGAACUGGACCUAAGUAAUAAUGACCUGCGGGAUUCAGGAGUGAGGCUUUUCUCUGCAGGACUGAAAAAUCCACAUUGUAAACUGGAAUCUCUCAGUCUGUCAGGCUGUCUGAUCACAGAGGAAGGCUGUACUUCUCUGGCCUCAGCUCUGAGCUC